rnacentral:rRNA from 1 species
AACGCGAAGAACCUUACCAAGGCUUGACAUCCUGGGAAGUUUCGAGAAAUCGAGAUGUGCCUUCGGGAACCCAGUGACAGGUGAUGCAUGGCUGUCGUCAGCUCGUGUCGUGAGAUGUUAGGUUAAGUCCUUCAACGAGCGCAACCCUCGUGGCUAGUUGUAUAUUUCUAGCCAGACCGCCUCGGUAACGGGGAGGAAGGAGAGGAUGACGCCUGGUCCGUAUUUCCCUUAUGUCUUGGGCGACACACACGCUACAAUGGCCGGUACAAUGGGCUGCUAAGUCGCAAGGCGGAGCUAACCCCACCAAAACCGGUCUCAGUUCGGAUUGCAGGCUGCAACUCGCCUGCAUGAAGUCGGAAUCGCUAGUAACCGUAGGUCAGCAUACUACGGUGAAUACGUUCCCGGGCCUUGUACACACCGCGAGC